AAGUGUUAUAGCUCUUUUAGAAUUUGUCUCGUAGAUUUUCCGGUCUCUACCGGAAGACCCUU
rfam:Otolemur garnettii contig085693, whole genome shotgun sequence.